rnacentral:rRNA from 1 species
UACGUAGGGUGCGAGCGUUAAUCGGAAUUACUGGGCGUAAAGCGCGCGCAGGCGGCUUGUUACGUCUGAUGUGAAAGCCCCGGGCUCAACCUGGGAACUGCAUUGGAAACUGGCAAGCUCGAGUAUGGCAGAGGGGGGUGGAAUUCCGCGUGUAGCAGUGAAAUGCGUAGAGAUGCGGAGGAACACCGAUGGCGAAGGCAGCCCCCUGGGCCAAUACUGACGCUCAGGCACGAAAGCGUGGGGAGCAAACAGG